AUAAUGGGUCAGCGACUUAUAUUCUGUAGCAAGGUUAACCGAAUAGGGGAGCCGAAGGGAAACCGAGUCUUAACUGGGCGUUAAGUUGCAGGGUAUAGACCCGAAACCCGGUGAUCUAGCCAUGGGCAGGUUGAAGGUUGGGUAACACUAACUGGAGGACCGAACCGACUAAUGUUGAAAAAUUAGCGGAUGACUUGUGGCUGGGGGUGAAAGGCCAAUCAAACCGGGAGAUAGCUGGUUCUCCCCGAAAGCUAUUUAGGUAGCGCCUCGUGAAUUCAUCUCCGGGGGUAGAGCACUGUUUCGGCAAGGGGGUCAUCCCGACUUACCAACCCGAUGCAAACUGCGAAUACCGGAGAAUGUUAUCACGGGAGACACACGGCGGGUGCUAACGUCCGUCGUGAAGAGGGAAACAACCCAGACCGCCAGCUAAGGUCCCAAAGUCAUGGUUAAGUGGGAAACGAUGUGGGAAGGCCCAGACAGCCAGGAUGUUGGCUUAGAAGCAGCCAUCAUUUAAAGAAAGCGUAAUAGCUCACUGGUCGAGUCGGCCUGCGCGGAAGAUGUAACGGGGCUAAACCAUGCACCGAAGCUGCGGCAGCGACACUAUGUGUUGUUGGGUAGGGGAGCGUUCUGUAAGCCUGUGAAGGUGUACUGUGAGGUAUGCUGGAGGUAUCAGAAGUGCGAAUGCUGACAUAAGUAACGAUAAAGCGGGUGAAAAGCCCGCUCGCCGGAAGACCAAGGGUUCCUGUCCAACGUUAAUCGGGGCAGGGUGAGUCGACCCCUAAGGCGAGGCCGAAAGGCGUAGUCGAUGGGAAACAGGUUAAUAUUCCUGUACUUGGUGUUACUGCGAAGGGGGGACGGAGAAGGCUAUGUUGGCCGGGCGACGGUUGUCCCGGUU
rnacentral:rRNA from 1 species